AGGACGAACGCUGGCGGCGCGCUUAACACAUGCAAGUCGAACGGGGUUCACUCCUUCGGGAGAGGAUUCAGUGGCGAACGGGUGCGUAACACGUGAGCAACCUGCCCUGGUGUGGGGGAUAACCUCGGGAAACCGGGGCUAAUACCGCAUACGCUCUUCGGGUCACCUGGCCUGGGGAGGAAAGGUGCUGUCAAAGGCACUGAAUUAGGAGGGGCUCGCGGCGUAUCAGCUAGUUGGUGAGGUAACGGCUCACCAAGGCAGCGACGCGUAGGGGGUCUGAGCGGAUGGCCCCCAGAUUGGGACUGGAGAUACGGCCCAGACUCCUACGGGAGGCAGCAGUGGGAAUCGUGCGCAAUGGCCGAAAGGCUGACGCAGCGACGCGCGUGCGGAGGACGCUCGUUCGGGGUGUAAACCGCUGUCGAGUGGGACGAACGGCGUAGGGGGAAAUACCCGGACGUUUAGACCGGUUAACCCGCGAAGAGGAAGCCGACCGGCAACGUCCACUGCCAGCACGCCG
rnacentral:rRNA from 1 species